rnacentral:rRNA from 1 species
UACAGAGGGUGCGAGCGUUAUUCGGAAUUACUGGGCGUAAAGCGUGCGUAGGCGGUUAUUUAAGUCGGGUGUGAAAGCCCCGGGCUCAACCUGGGAAUUGCAUUCGAGACUGAAUAGCUAGGGUACGGUAGAGGGAAGCGGAAUUUCCGGUGUAGCGGUGAAAUGCGUAGAUAUCGGAAGGAACAUCAGUGGCGAAAGCGGCUUCCUGGACCAGUACCGACGUUCAGGCACGAAAGCGUGGGGAGCAAACAGG